rnacentral:rRNA from 1 species
UACGUAGGGGGCAAGCGUUGUCCGGAAUUAUUGGGCGUAAAGAGCGCGUAGGCGGUCCGAUAAGUCGGCUGUGAAAGUCAGGGGCUCAACCCUUGAAAGCCGGCCGAUACUGUCGGACUAGAGUCCGGAAGAGGCAAGUGGAAUUCCCGGUGUAGCGGUGAAAUGCGCAGAUAUCAGGAGGAACACCAGUGGCGAAGGCGCCACUCUGGGCCGUGACUGACGCUGAGGAGCGAAAGCGUGGGUAGCAAACAGG